rnacentral:rRNA from 1 species
AUUGAACGCUGGCGGCAGGCCUAACACAUGCAAGUCGAACGAGUGGCGGACGGGUGAGUAAGGUCUGGGAAACUGCCCGAUGGAGGGGGAUAACUACUGGAAACGGUAGCUAAUACCGCAUACCAUCGGAUGUGCCCAGAUGGGAUUAGCUAGUGGGUGGGGUAACGGCUCACCUCGGCGACGAUCCCUAGCUGGUCGGAGAGGAUGACCAGCCAAACGGGAACUGGGACAGGGUCCAGCCUCCUACGGGGGGCAGCAGUGGGGAAUAUUGCACAAUGGGCGCAAGCCUGAUGCAGCCAUGCCGCGGGUAUGAAGAAGGCCUUCGGGUUUUAAAGUACUUUCAGCGAGGAGGCGUUACUCGCAGAGGAAGCACCGGCUAACUCCGUGCCAGCAGCCGCGGUAAUUC